GACGAACGCUGGCGGCGUGCCUAAUACAUGCAAGUCGAACGGAAGGGCCCUGAGUUUGUGUGUUUCUUGUUUGGCGAGCGGGUGAGAAUAACGUGUGGAUCACCCCCCUAUAAUACGGGUAAAUUCUCGGGACACCGGCUCUUACAGCGUAGGAUCUUUUGAUGCAUAGUGUUCAAUGGUAAAAGUCGGCGGUUGUGGCUGUUCUCGAGGGAUCCCCGCUGCAUUAGCUAGUUGGUGAGGUAACGGCUUAUCAAGGCAAGGAUGCAUAACCGACCUGAGGGGGUGAUCGGCCACCCGGGAACUGAGACACGGUCCAGAGUCCUACAGGAGGCAGCAGUAGGGAAUCUUCCGCAAUGGGCGAAAGCAUGACGGAGCAACGGCGAGUGAGUGAUGAAGGUCUUCGGAUCGUAAAACUCUGUUAUUAGGGAAGAACAUAUGUGUAAGUAACUGUGCACAUCUUGACGGUACCUAAUCAGAAAGCCACGGCUAACUACGUG
rnacentral:rRNA from 1 species